GAAAGGCCAAUCAAACCGGGAGAUAGCUGGUUCUCCCCGAAAGCUAUUUAGGUAGCGCCUCGUGAAUUCAUCUCCGGGGGUAGAGCACUGUUUCGGCUAGGGGGCCAUCCCGGCUUACCAACCCGAUGCAAACUGCGAAUACCGGAGAAUGUUAUCACGGGAGACACACGGCGGGUGCUAACGUCCGUCGUGAAGAGGGAAACAACCCAGACCGCCAGCUAAGGUCCCAAAGUCAUGGUUAAGUGGGAAACGAUGUGGGAAGGCCCAGACAGCCAGGAUGUUGGCUUAGAAGCAGCCAUCAUUUAAAGAAAGCGUAAUAGCUCACUGGUCGAGUCGGCCUGCGCGGAAGAUGUAACGGGGCUAAACCAUGCACCGAAGCUGCGGCAGCGAACGUAUCACCCAAGACAACUUUACGGAGUUGACGAUUGACGGAGCGAAGCGACGUCAAAGCGUUCAUUAAAGUCGAGUUGGCUUAGGGAUACGUUCGUUGGGUAGGGGAGCGUUCUGUAAGCCUGUGAAGGUGUGUCGUGAGGC
rnacentral:rRNA from 1 species